CGUAAGGGGCGAGCGUUGUUCGGGAUCAUUGGGCGUAAAGGGUGAGUAGGCGGAUAUGCAAGUCUAUGUGUAAAAUACCACAGCUCAACUGUGGAACUAUGCUGGAAACUGCAUGACUAGAGUCUGAUAGGGGAAGUUAGAAUUCCUGGUGUAAGGGUGGAAUCUGUUGAUAUCAGGAAGAAUACCAGAGGCGAAGGCGAACUUCUAGGCCAAGACUGACGCUGAGUCACGAAAGCGUAGGGAGCAAACAGGA
rnacentral:rRNA from 1 species